rnacentral:misc_RNA from 1 species
UAACUGUGAUACGUAGUGUGAAUUGCAGAAUUCAGUGAACCAUCGAAACCUUGAACGCACCUUGCGCCCGCGGUCACCCGCGGGCAUGCCUGUUUGAGUGUCGUCAAAAUACUCUCCCAAACCCCCGACUGGGGAGCGCGAGGAGGAGGAUGGGCGUCGGGAGGGCCCCCGGCCCGCCCGUCGCCUGAAACCCAGAGGAGGCCAGAGGCCCCGCGGCCCGUUCGGGCCCGCCCGGCACCAGGGACGUUGUCAGCGUGCCCCGAGCACGACCCACGCCCCGACCGGUGCCACCUCGGCGGGACCCCCGGCGGGCCCGCGGCCCCGCCUCCCACCGGCCCUCGGCGGCCAGGAAACGCACCCUGCGACCUCAAAUCAGGCAAGGCUACCCGCCGAAUUUAA